GUGGGGAAUUUUGGACAAUGGGCGAAAGCCUGAUCCAGCCAUGCCGCGUGCAGGAUGAAGGCCUUCGGGUUGUAAACUGCUUUUGUACGGAACGAAAAGACUUCUUCUAAUACAGGAGGUCCAUGACGGUACCGUAAGAAUAAGCACCGGCUAACUACGUGCCAGCAGCCGCGGUAAUACGUAGGGUGCAAGCGUUAAUCGGAAUUACUGGGCGUAAAGCGUGCGCAGGCGGUUAUAUAAGACAGAUGUGAAAUCCCCGGGCUCAACCUGGGAACUGCAUUUGGGACUGUAUAGCUAGAGUACGGUAGAGGGGGAUGGAAUUCCGCGUGUAGCAGUGAAAUGCGUAGAUAUGCGGAGGAACACCGAUGGCGAAGGCAAUCCCCUGGACCUGUACUGACGCUCAUGCACGAAAGCGUGGGGAGCAAACAGGAUUAGAAACCCCAGUAGUCC
rnacentral:rRNA from 1 species